rnacentral:tRNA from 1 species
GCCUGGGUGGCUCAGUGGUUGAGCAUCUGCCUUUGGCUCAGGGCAUGUUCCUGGGGCCCUGGGAUCAAGUCCCAGAUCAGGCU